rnacentral:rRNA from 1 species
UAGGCCGGGUGUGUAAGCGCAGCGAUGCGUUGAGCUAACCGGUACUAAUGACCCGUGAGGCUUAACCUUA